rfam:Moraxella atlantae strain CCTG 59586 contig_43, whole genome shotgun sequence.
CGCUUUUUUCGCCCAGGCGGAGAAGGGCCGCAAACCCAAGUGAUAGUCAAAUUCAUUGAUGACGAGAAACAGCAUUACGGGGUCGAGUCGAUUUGCAGAAUACUGCCAAUUGCCCCA